rnacentral:rRNA from 1 species
AACGAACGCUGGCGGCAGGCCUAACACAUGCAAGUCGAGCGGGGGAGCAAUCCCUAGCGGCGGACGGGUGAGUAACGCGUGGGAACGUGCCCUUUGCUUCGGAAUAGCCCCUGGAAACGGGGAGUAAUACCGGAUGUGCCCUACGGGGGAAAGAAUUUCGGCAAAGGAUCGGCCCGCGUUGGAUUAGGUAGUUGGUGGGGUAAUGGCCUACCAAGCCGACGAUCCAUAGCUGGUUUGAGAGGAUGAUCAGCCACACUGGGACUGAGACACGGCCCAGACUCCUACGGGAGGCAGCAGUGGGGAAUCUUAGACAAUGGGCGCAAGCCUGAUCUAGCCAUGCCGCGUGAGCGAUGAAGGCCUUAGGGGUUGUAAAAGCUCUUUCGUGGGGGAAGAGUAAAUGACGGUACCCCCAAGAAAGGAAGCCCCGGCUAAACUCCGUGCCAGCAGCCGCGGUAAU